rnacentral:sRNA from 1 species
GGCCGGGCUGGUGGGUGCUUUUCCUGCCUGUCCGUCUCUCCAUCUGGGCUCUCUGGCAGAGUGGCAGCGGCUGCUGCAGUGGCUUGCACCGUUCUCUGCACGCAGCAUUCCCAACCAUCUCCAUGCAAGAAGGGCCUUGAAACCAGCAUGUAACUUACUCAGCCCAGCAGGCCAGAAGCAUCCUCAGAGGAAUUAAUCCCGAUGAUUCACAUGGCUGCAGACACACUAGCCAGGCAUAUCUAACUAGCUUCCAUCGCAGGGGGGACGAGCAGGUUUCAAGAUACGAUAUGGAUCAUAAUGAUACAAUAACUACUUCGGCAACAACUAAUAGUAAUUUUUGAUUCGUUUUCUUGGUAUUAUUAUUAUUCCGACCCUGGUCAUUGGCAGGGUGGGAUUUGCGAUCCAUUCACAAUGGUGAUGAUAAUUAUAAGGGAUAAGCACUGUGAUACGGGGGUGAUCGAUGGGCAGGUUAGAAGCGGAAAAGGGCAGAAGGAAGAAAAGUGAUCUGUGACAGCUAGUUAGGGGGGAAUCUGGGUAUUUCUUUUUUUCUUUGCUUCUUUGAGCGGCUAUCAUAAGGAUAGAACUCCAUGUCAAGUUAACGGAUUUGUACGGGUUGAUAAUCACAUCCUCCCAUCCCUUGACGAAAACGACGACACUAAUAAUGAUCAUACACGGCGAUGUUGCUCGCUUCCGGGCGUGGAAGCAGAGCAGCCCUUUGUGCUUUCUAGUAUGGAGAUAACGCUUUCUCUGCUUUGUACUGUCCUUUGCGUGCGGAGAAUAGCUUACACCGCAUGCAGACAUACAUGGCUACAUCGAGGAGGAGGAGAUAGCGAUACAUACAACAUACAAUAUACAUAUACAUAU